rnacentral:misc_RNA from 1 species
GCCCCUUCCAAGAAUAUCAUUCAACCUCUUGUACCGCUUAUUCAAAUCAUUAAACUUAUCUUCACAUUGUUGUGGUGAAACAUGACAGCCCUUACUGAUCAUUAUCUUUGACACCGAUUUCCACUUACCUUUCUUCUGCAGAAUCCCAGAUUUCCUCUUAAGCCCCUCAACACCCUCAAAUGCACCAUCAUCACCCACAUAAGCGACUACUGCUAUAAGAAGCCUAACCACAUUAUCCGUCCAUUUCAUUCGCUGCCAUGGGGAUCCCUUUUUACCCUUAGCUCCACUGGUGUUCUCACCAUUCCCAUCUUCUGUAAAGCUUGGUUCAUCAUCCUCACUCACACUGCCAUUAUUUGUGGCAUUAAAAGGGCUAACAGCUUUCCCUUUACUGAAAACUGCUGAAUAUCCUUUUGGGAUUGAGCCUUUCACUUCCAUUAGCCCAAUGGUUUGAUGAUCAUUCUCAUGGCCACCUACUAAAUUCAUAUGAUUUUGAUGGGCUAACGAAGGAAGACCCAAUUGGGUCUGCUGUUGUCGA